GUGAGAUGGUAUCUUAUUGGGGUUUUGAUUUGCAUUUCUUUAAUGAUUAGUGAUGAGCAUUUUUUCAUGUGUUCUUGGCCAUGUGUAUGCCUGAUUGCUCUUCUAAUUCUGUUCUGCUCAGCUGUUCAAACACUUGAACACUGCCCCACUCCACGUUCAAGUGUUUAGCUCUGGCUUUCAGGAAUCUCUGUUCCCACACCUCUGCUCCCUGAGCCCAUACAGGGAUUUCUGAAGGGGUGAGGUAAGGUGUCAGUGAUAGGGUUUUUUUCUCUGGGAUUAUGUGGGGAGUUGCCAAGCUCCUAUUAGAACCAGUGAAGCCCCCUUCCUCAGGGGUUUUCCCAAAAGAAGAGGCAGAGCUCAUACUCAGAACCAUUUGGACCAUAAGGCCUUAUAGAGGAACCCAGUGACUGCACGAAAUGGAGAGACACAGAGCCUCAGGCUGGAAAGGGUAGAAUACAGGGAUGAGAGCUCAUCAGUGUCUGUGACAUCAUAGACAUGACCUUACAGUUCUGUCAUGACCAGAAUUGGAAGAAAGAAACAGGUGAAAUGAUGGUACAGCUGCCAGACUGAGACAUCUCAGUUCCUUAUUAAGCUUUGUCAUUUCCUCCAAUUCUCCCUUCAGAAUGGCCCAUUCCAUGGUAGCUCUUAGAAGGGUUAUAUCUUGGUGUUUUGCGCAGAACUCUUUGGGUUUCUCCAUUAACUUAGCUACUGUGCCCAGAGGCUCCAAAAGAAGAACACCAGCAGGGCCUUGAGCUGCAUGACUUCCUCUGGGGUGAUCUCGCCCUCAGGGCUGGGUGAGACCACCACAGCCACACUGUGAAAGUUUCAGAGUUUUCAUUACUUACAGAUCCUCAAGGUAGGCAGGGUGACCAAAGAGAGGCAGACAGCAGUCUUCAGUCCCAGGUCUUAUGUAGUGAGAGCAACAGCACACUUGUGGGAGAGGACUUCCUCUGUUUAAGGGUUGUUUGGGGAUAGGAUGUCCUAAUUUCAUGGGGUUACUUUCCAUUGAGUCCUUCAACCACUUCCAGCAGCAAAGGAAGUUGAGCAGUUUGGCAUGAGGCUGGAGUUAAAACAGGGCUCUUGGAGGGACUUCUUGUCUAUCUUGGUCAGCCCUGGCCAGGCAACAAUCAACUGUGGUUUCUUCAUUACUCCUCAGAUACUUGGGACAUUCAUGGUGACCUAUUGGGACCUAAGGAAGAGAACCUGAUUUUAAUUUAGACUAAUAAGCAAGUUUUCUGAACAGGUUUAUAGGGGCUAGUUCAGCCUGGACAGCGUGAGCCUGAAUCAAAAGGUACUACUAAUACCAGCGGGCUAGAAGAUCCCAUGUGGACGUGUCAGGUGGCUUGGCCAUUGAGAAGGAAUGACAGUAGAGCUGAAACGGUCCAGAGCCCAGGUAUCCAACAAAGGCUAAGAAUCAAGGACUGCGAGGAGCUGAGGAUUCCGCCUGUGAUGAAGUAAGCUAUGAAAUGGGCACGCAUGUGCCAGGAUCCCAGAAGCUCUGGGCUGUUCCUAACUGAACUCACAAGAGGCAGCAGAGAGGUAGCAAGAGGAAAGGAGAGUGAGAUCCAGAGCUGUGUCACGGCAAGGUCAAGUGUCUCCAGACAAACGUCACAAGGAGAGCCGCAGCCAUGUGCCAAAGCCCUGUGCCCUCCAUGAGGAAAUGGACCAGAUGACAUUGAGGAGCCAACCUGCCUGGAUUCCUAGUUCCCAAGACCCAGCCCAAAAGCUAAGUAGUAGUAACCAUUCUCUCCUAGAACAGUUGCAUAAAGGACUUGGGAAGAGGAGAGCCCUCUGCACCUUGGGAAAUCCAGAUUAUAAUUCUGUCUUUACUGUGGAUUGAGCCCUAAGACUGCUGUGUGCCCAUCCUUCCUCCCUCUAAAAUGUGUUUCUGUUUCUGUAAGGGGGAUGAUAAUCUGCUCUCUCUCUCAAACAUAAAGUCACUGAGAGGGCUUGCUUUCCAUCUGGGGUUGUAUCUCUUCCUUCUUUCUGUGAAUUACUUUUCCCUCCCUGACCUUCAUUUAUUUGAGCUUCACCCAUUGUCCCAGAUAAUGAUAGGAAAGCCCUAGAGUAGACAUAGACGGGAACUCUCUCCCUCACUUCCAUAACCUAUCACCAUCACAUUAUGUUGACUAUGCCCCC